UGGAGCCUGUUUUACUCCUAGAUUAAUGUGGAAGGUCUGUUUCUAUCAUCUAGACCAGACAGAUAUGCCUCCACCACAUUGCCCUCUGACUCGCUGAGCAUCUGAACUUCAACCAGCUCAAGGUUUAAUUCCAACUGAUGGCUGUGUGGAAUCUACAUGGUUCCUGUCUGGGUUUCUCCCACAUUCCAAAGAGUUGCAGGUGUUCCUACUGCUACGUCACCAUUCUCUCCAGCUCCGCUAUCCAGUCGGCAGGGCAGUCCUCCUCAAAGUCCCUGCGAACA